rnacentral:rRNA from 1 species
UACAGAGGGUGCGAGCGUUAAUCGGAAUUACUGGGCGUAAAGCGCACGUAGGCGGCUUGGUAUGUCGGGUGUGAAAUCCCCGGGCUCAACCUGGGAACUGCAUCCGAAACUGCCUUGCUAGAGUAUGGGAGAGGAAAGUGGAAUUUCCGGUGUAGCGGUGAAAUGCGUAGAUAUCGGAAGGAACAUCAGUGGCGAAGGCGACUUCCUGGACCAAUACUGACGCUCAGGUGCGAAAGCGUGGGGAGCAAACAGG